CCCUGUCACGUUGAGGCUGAGAUUCAGAUAAUGGACAGAACUGGGAAAAGAGCUACAUCUGUCAUGUCUUCCAAACCGAGCGGAGGACAUCUGCAGCUAUCGCCACCAUCUCACUGUAGCACAACGGGAAAAACAGAUGCAAAAAUAGAAGUGAAUAUUCAACUAUUAGCAGUGAGCAAAACUGAAAUACAGCAGGCUGCGGCGGACAGACAUGGAAUGGGAAACGGCUUCCUCUAGCGCGCGCUGUCUGUCUCGAGUGGACAACAUGCCAACCACCCAAUGAGGUUUCCUCCCUCAGGUGGUCCCUGAUGUAUUCAUAAGGGGCUAGGAGGAGGAGACAAGCGAGAAGGUUUCAAAUGGACUCAGAGCAAGUAAUAUCCUCCUGACACCGAAGGAGCCUCCUGGGAGCUCCUCAUCCUGCCAGGAGACAGUCCCUCUAUGACGUCUGGCUGGCUUUGAACUUCUGUGCUCAAGUAAGCCCCCUGCUUCAGCCUCCCAAAUAGCCAAGACUACAGACAAGUGGCACCGUGCCUGGCCUAUUUUCAUUACUUCAAGCACCAUCUUAAAAAGAUGGAAAAUUCUGCCAGAUGAAGUAGAGAGACAAGAGGAUUGGUCUGCAGUGUACCAGGUCAGGAGGAAGAAAUGAGACUAAACAACCGGAUACAUCCUCAUGACUUGAGCCUGCUCCACAAUCCCAUCUACGUGGUACAGCUUAUCUGAUCUCUUCAGAGCUGCGGCAUCUGUGACCUCAUUCGCUCUGUCAGAGUCAACUGAAGCCUGUGUUGCUGACUUCCAAACCUGUAUUUCUUGACUGGCCCUGGCUGCAGAGCAACAAGCUCAAGACGAUAGCUCUCUGCACUACAGCGGACAGUCAAGCGGCACGCUCAGUCUGGCCUCCAUUUAACCAGUGCAGAUGAACUCACUACUGUGCCUUACACACUACUCACCCUGCAAUAAAAGAGCCUGACUGUCGCAGCUCUGUGCUGGUCCUAGCUUUUCUACCAUCUACACUCCUGAGGACAUUAUUAUACUAAAGUUAGCAAAGCCUGCAAUAAUAGGGACACAAUUUAUAAUGGUAUGUCUUUGAAUGGAAAAUGCAGAUUUUGUUUCACAGUUAAGAAAGAAGGAAAGUGAUGCUUUCCCUAGAAUAAGAAGUCUAAGACAUGAAUUGAGCUGCUGUUGGCAGUAAUAAAUUAACUUACAGUGCACCAUAAGGUAAUGAAGAUAGAGUUUCUAUUGUUAGAAUGAACACUUAUACCUACUUUCCCUAAGCAAUUAUUAUUCUAAUUUUAGGAUCACUGAAGUUCAGUUAAAAUACAAUGUUUAUUACAUAAAACUGCUAUCCUCCGUAUCCAUAGUUUUGUUUCUCAAAAUUUCAGUUACCUGUGGCCAAACUGUGGUCUGAAAAAAUUAAAUGGAAAAGUCCAGAAAUAAAUUCAGAGAUUUUAAAUGCUUGUUAUUCUUAGUAGCAUAAUGAAAUCGCAUGCCAUCUGGGAGGAGAAUUAUCCUUUGUCCAAUGCACCCAGGUAAACGUCACAGGCACGCGCACAUGGACCAGCUUAUCACUUAAGACUCGCCCUGAUGAUCAGACUCAUCCCUGAAAUGAUGCACCGCCUGCUUCAUCUCAGCGGAAAGCCUAAUGCUAUGUCACCCAUCUCUCCUUCAUCUUAGCACACAGGCACUGUAUCAUCUUUUUAUUCUUUUCUUUUUUGGUACCAGGAAUUCUACUCAGGACCUUGAUUUGCCAGGCAACUACUGUGCUACUAAAGCUAUAUUCCUCGCCUGGUAUUGUAUCAUCUUGCAUCACCAUAUAGUGCAGUAAGAUUCUAAGACAGAGACACAGAAACUACAUUAAUAUAAUUUUGCUAUAGUAUAUUGCUAUAAUUAUUCUACUUUAUUAUUACUGUUAAUUUCUUACUGCUAAUUUAUAAAUUAAACUUCAUUACUGUAUAUAUGUACAGGAAAAAUC